rnacentral:rRNA from 1 species
GAUGAACGCUGGCGGCGUGCCUAAUACAUGCAAGUCGAGCGAACGGACGAGAAGCUUGCUUCUCUGAUGUUAGCGGCGGACGGGUGAGUAACACGUGGAUAACCUACCUAUAAGACUGGGAUAACUUCGGGAAACCGGAGCUAUUACCGGAUAAUAUUUUGAACCGCAUGGUUCAAAAGUGAAAGACGGUCUUGCUGUCACUUAUAGAUGGAUCCGCGCUGCAUUAGCUAGUUGGUAAGGUAACGGCUUACCAAGGCAACGAUGCAUAGCCGACCUGAGAGGGUGAUCGGCCACACUGGAACUGAGACACGGUCCAGACUCCUACGGGAGGCAGCAGUAGGGAAUCUUCCGCAAUGGGCGAAAGCCUGACGGAGCAACGCCGCGUGAGUGAUGAAGGUCUUCGGAUCGUAAAACUCUGUUAUUAGGGAAGAACAUAUGUGUAAGUAACUGUACACAUCUUGACGGUACCUAAUCAGAAAGCCACGGCUAACUACGUG